UACGUAGGGUGCAAGCGUUAUUCGGAAUUACUGGGCGUAAAGCGUGCGUAGGCGGUUCGUUAAGUCUGUUGUGAAAGCCCCGGGCUCAACCUGGGAAUGGCGAUGGAUACUGGCGGGCUAGAGUGCGGUAGAGGAGAGUGGAAUUCCCGGUGUAGCAGUGAAAUGCGUAGAGAUCGGGAGGAACAUCAGUUGCGAAGGCGGCUCUCUGGACCGGAACUGACGCUGAGGCACGAAAGCGUGGGGAGCAAACAGG
rnacentral:rRNA from 1 species